rnacentral:rRNA from 1 species
CCCUUAGAUGUUCUGGGCCGCACGCGCGCUACACUGAUCGAGCCAGCGAGCCUGUCCCUCGCCGGUAGGUGCGGGUAAUCUUGUGAAACUCGAUCGUGCUGGGGAUAGACCAUUGCAAUUAUUGGUCUUAAACGAGGAAUUCCUAGUAAGCGCAAGUCAUCAGCUUGCGUUGAUUACGUCCCUGCCCUUUGUACACACCGCCCGUCGCUACUACCGAUUGAAUGGUUUAGUGAAAUCUUCGGAUUGGAGCCCUGGGGAGCAGCGAUGCUUCCUUGGGAUUUCGAGAAGUUGCUUGAACUGAAUUAUUUAGAGGAAGUAAAAGUCGUAACA